rnacentral:ncRNA from 1 species
UUUAAAACGUCGUGAGACAGUUUGGUCCUUAUCUGUUGCGGGCGCAGGAUAUUUGAGGAGAUCUUUCCCUAGUACGAGAGGACCGGGAUGGACGAACCUAUGGUGUACCAGUUGUUCCGCCAGGAGCAUCGCUGGGUAGCUAUGUUCGGCAGGGAUAACCGCUGAAAGCAUCUAAGCGGGAAGCCUACUUCAAGAUAAGAUAUCCCAUGGCGUAAAGUCAUCUGAAGGCUCGUGGUAGACCACCACGUCGAUAGGUCGGGUGUGGAAGUGCAGUAAUGCAUGCAGCUUACCGAUACUAAUCAGCCGUGCGGCUUAUCCAU